rnacentral:rRNA from 1 species
CAGUCGCCGCGGUAAUACGUAGGGUGCAAGCGUUAAUCGGAAUUACUGGGCGUAAAGCGUGCGCAGGCGGUUUUGUAAGACAGAGGUGAAAUCCCCGGGCUCAACCUGGGAACUGCCUUUGUGACUGCAAGGCUAGAGUACGGCAGAGGGGGAUGGAAUUCCGCGUGUAGCAGUGAAAUGCGUAGAUAUGCGGAGGAACACCGAUGGCGAAGGCAAUCCCCUGGGCCUGUACUGACGCUCAUGCACGAAAGCGUGGGGAGCAAACAGGAUUAGAUACCCCAGUAGUCCCUGUCUCUUAUAA